rnacentral:snRNA from 1 species
UCACUCUUGUUUCUCUGCAUCACGCAUAAAUCUUUCGCCUUUUACUAAAGAUUUCCGUGCAGAGGAACACUCAUUGAUUUUAAACUCAAUUUUUCUCAGCCCUUUUGAAAAACAAGGGUC